rnacentral:rRNA from 1 species
AGUGAACGCUGGCGGUAGGCCUAACACAUGCAAGUCGAACGGCAGCACAGUAAGAGCUUGCUCUUACGGGUGGCGAGUGGCGGACGGGUGAGGAAUACAUCGGAAUCUACUUUUUCGUGGGGGAUAACGUAGGGAAACUUACGCUAAUACCGCAUACGACCUACGGGUGAAAGCAGUGGAUCUUCAGACCUUUCGCGAUUGAAUGAGCCGAUGUCGGAUUAGCUAGUUGGCGGGGUAAAGGCCCACCAAGGCGACGAUCCGUAGCUGGUCUGAGAGGAUGAUCAGCCACACUGGAACUGAGACACGGUCCAGACUCCUACGGGAGGCAGCAGUGGGGAAUAUUGGACAAUGGGCGCAAGCCUGAUCCAGCCAUACCGCGUGGGUGAAGAAGGCCUUCGGGUUGUAAAGCCCUUUUGUUGGGAAAGAAAAGCAGCAGGUUAAUACCCCGCUGUUCUGACGGUACCCAAAGAAUAAGCACCGGCUAACUUCGUG